AUGUUUAAUAAAUCACCGACGGUUUUUAGGUUGUCGGUUACACCGACAGCCUUAGAUCUAACACCGUCAGUUAAAUCGUCGGUGCAAAAUAAAACGAUAGAUUAAAACCGUCGAUGAUCUUCAUUUUUUAUUUUUUUUAAUCUUCCUUUCACAAUCAAUUUAUAAUAGUCGAUGACUGUAUUAUUUAUUUUUCAAAAAAAUUCGCAAAAAAAAAAAAAAAAAAAACUCGUCAGCCAUCAAUAGUCGGUGUCUUAAAAAAAAUAGAAAACUAUCAAUGAAAGUCUGAAACUGUCGGAUAAGCUGAUGUAUUUCGCAAAAUAGAGAACCUCAGCAGCAGUAGUGUUCACUCAUUCGAACAAAUUUUUAAAAAAUCACUUUGCUCCCGGUUUGCAAGAAGAACGACCAACACAAGAUCGAAAUUUCAACAACAAGGCUCCUCCUACGUCUUUCGACCACCACUCCUCCUUCCAUAGUCGCCGAUCGUGACCACCACUUCCCCCACCGUCAGCCAGCCGUUCUAUCCCUCCUAGCUACCGAAAAAAAACCCUAGAAUUGUAGAAUUUGUCACCAUGAAAAGGAAGGAGCGUUGGUGGAUGUAUGACAGAUAUGACAAAAGGCGUAACUUGAGGCCUAAGUUCUUGAGAGGAUUCGAUGAAUUCAUCGACUUUUGCAAAGCAAAUCCAGAGAAUGAUCUCGGAAAGGAUUCUGUUCGAUGCCCAUGUCCAAAAUGCAAGAACAAACGUUUUAAUGAAGCAAAUACGGUCAAACUGCAUUUGUACAAGAAGGGAUUCAUACCUGAUUACUACGAUUGGUUGUCACAUGGUGAGGAGUUCCCUCAAUCCUCAUCAGAGCAACCUAAUCCAUACCGUGAAAUGGUUUUCGAUGCUUUUGGGAGUAUCCAUGAGCUGUCGACUGAUGAAGAUUCUAGUGGACUAGAGGAGGAACCAAAUGCUCAAGCGAAGGAGUUUAUUAAGAUUUUAAUUAAAGGCUUCUGAGCAACCACUAUAUGAAGGGAGCUCCAUGACUGUGUUAGAAAUGACAUCUAGAAUUGGGUAUUUGAAGUGUGAGUACAAUUUGCCACAUAGUUGAUGGGUUCACUUCAUUAAUCAAUGAAGCAAUUCCUGGAAACAACAUGGCCAUCACAUUUUAUGAUACGAAGAAGAUGUUGAACGGAUUGGAGCUUCCUCACAAGAAGUUUCAUGCUUGCCCUAAAGGGUGUAUGUUAUUUUGGAGAGCUGAUGCCAACUUGGAUACAUGUAGAGUGUGUAAGAGGGACUGGUACAAGAGGACUUUUAUGGGGUCCUUAGUGCCUCGAAAAGCUCUUAUUUAUUUUAUAAUAACACCGAGGUUGCAAAGGUUGUUUGUAACUAAGAACGUUGCCGAGGAAAUGACAUGGCAUGCCAAGAAUCCUAGAGUUCAAGAUACAAUGGUUCAUCCUAGCGACACUGAAGCUUGGAAGCAUUUGGACACGUCCUUUCCUGAUUUUUCAUCUGAACCUAGGAAUGUUCGACUGGGUUUGUAUAUUGAUGGUUAUGCACCUCAUGGGAAGUUUGGGGUCAGUACUCAUGUUGGCCGGUCAUCUUAACCCCGUACAACUUGCCUCCGUCCAUGUGAUGAAAAAACCCUUCAUGUUCCUUUCGUUGCUAGUUCCCAGUCCAAAAAAUUCAAAGGGUAACUUGGAUGUUUUCAUACAGCCUCUAAUUGAAAAGUUGAAACAACUUUGGGAUGUUGGUGCCAAACCUUAUGACAUUUCUUGAAAACAAAUUUCAAUAUGCGUGCUGCCAUUUUAUAGACUGUCAAUGACUUUUCAAUUUAUGGUAUGCUAUCUGGAUGGUCUACAGCUGGGAAAAAUGCCUGCUCUUAUUGUUUGGACACAACCAAAGCCUUUUGGCUUGACCAUAUGGGGAAAGUUUCUUGGUUUGAUUGCCAUUGACAAUUCCUACUACCAGAUCAUCCUUUUCGUAACAACAAAGUUGCUUUCUACAGAAACAUGGUUGAGAAAAGGGUCUCCUCCACAAAUCAUGUCCGGGGAAGAGUUGUGGGAAUGCGUGAAAAACUUGCCCAAAAAAGCUAUGGAUGGACAACACUUACAUCUUUGAAAAAGUUGAAAAUAGUUUGGUUCAAACAAAGCAUUUAGUUGAAAAAGUAUGAUACUACGAAUAUUAUAUUACAAAAAAAACUAAUUAUUGGGCAUAUUGAAUUAAAAUUUAGAUUGCAGGUUUUUAUUGUAAACGCAGUGCAGGUUAUAUUUUAAAACAAUUAAUUCAAUUCUUUGAAGCGAAAAAUAAAAUAAAAAUGCCAACAGUUAUUAAUCGUCGGUAAAUAGAAACCGUCGGUGUAUAAGUGAC